GACGGAGGAUGCAAGCGUUAUCCGGAAUGAUUGGGCGUAAAGCGUCCGCAGGUGGCAGUUCAAGUCUGCUGUCAAAGACCGGGGCUUAACUUCGGAAAGGCAGUGGAAACUGAACAGCUAGAGUAUGGUAGGGGCAGAGGGAAUUCCUGGUGUAGCGGUGAAAUGCGUAGAGAUCAGGAAGAACAUCGGUGGCGAAGGCGGCUACCUGGACCGGAACUGACGCUGAUGCGCGAAAGCGUGGGUAGCAAACAGG
rnacentral:rRNA from 1 species